rnacentral:rRNA from 1 species
AUUGAACGCUGGCGGCAGGCCUAACACAUGCAAGUCGAACGAGUGGCGGACGGGUGAGUAAUGUCUGGGAAACUGCCCGAUGGAGGGGGAUAACUACUGGAAACGGUAGCUAAUACCGCGUACCCUCGGAUGUGCCCAGAUGGGAUUAGCUUGUAGGUGAGGUAACGGCUCACCUAGGCGACGAUCCCUAGCUGGUCUGAGAGGAUGACCAGACACACGGGAACUGUGACACGGUCGAGAAUCCUACGGGAGGCAGCAGGGGGGAAUAUUGCACAAUGGGGGCAAGCCAUAUGCAGCCAUGCCGCGUGGAUGAAGAAGGCCGUCGGGUUGUAAAGUACUUUCAGCGGGGAGGCGUUACCCGCAGAAGAAGCACCGGCUAACUCCGUGCCAGCAGCCGCGGUAAUAC